rnacentral:rRNA from 1 species
UACGUAGGGUGCAAGCGUUAAUCGGAAUUACUGGGCGUAAAGCGUGCGCAGGCGGUUUUUGUAAGUCUGUCGUGAAAGCCCCGGGCUUAACCUGGGAAUUGCGAUGGAGACUGCAAGGCUUGAAUCUGGCAGAGGGGGGUAGAAUUCCACGUGUAGCAGUGAAAUGCGUAGAGAUGUGGAGGAACACCGAUGGCGAAGGCAGCCCCCUGGGUCAAGAUUGACGCUCAUGCACGAAAGCGUGGGGAGCAAACAGG